UACAGAGGGUGCGAGCGUUGUCCGGAAUCACUGGGCGUAAAGGGCGCGUAGGUGGUGGCUUAAGCGUGCGGUGAAAGCUCGGGGCUCAACCCCGAGUCGGCCGUGCGAACUGGGCUCACUGGAGCAUAGUAGAGGCAGGUGGAAUUCCGGGUGUAGCGGUGGAAUGCGUAGAGAUCCGGAAGAACACCGGUGGCGAAGGCGGCCUGCUGGGCUAUGGGCUGACACUGAGGCGCGACAGCGUGGGGAGCAAACAGG
rnacentral:rRNA from 1 species